rnacentral:misc_RNA from 1 species
UCCCCGUUGCCGGGGCAGUCUGAUUAGAAAAAUACAACUAAUCACAAGGGUUGCGCUCGUUGGCGGACUUAACCGUACACCUCACGGCACGAGCUGACGACAGCCAUGCAACAAGUGUCUUCACGUCCCCUUGUGGGGAAGGAGCCUAUUUCUAGGCUUUGCGAUCGAUGUCAAGUCUGGGUAAGGUUCUUCGGUUAGUAUCGAAUUAAUCCACAUGCUCCACCGCUUGUGCGGGUCCCCGUCAAUUCAUUUGAGUUUCAACCUUGCGGCCGUACUCCCCAGGCGGGAUACUUAAUGCGUUAGCUGCGGCACAAGAGGGGUCGAUACCUCUUACGCCUAGUAUCCAUCGUUUAGGGCUAGGACUAC